rnacentral:tRNA from 1 species
GCUGCGGUGGCCGAGUGGUCUAAGGCGGUAGAUUUAAGUUCUUGCACCAAACAAAACACUUGAAACUCUACUCUCGAGAGAGGCGCGCGUUCGAACCGCGUCCGCAGCA